UUUCUGGAAUCUCGCUCAAACAGCGGCCGUACGAACCGGACCAGCCGAACCGACAAUCAACGGGACAGGCCGACCUGCCGGAGUUCGAGAGUUGAGCGGCGGCCGGCGGGGAAGAGGAGGCCGGCAAGAUGUCUUCCGUGUACGUGCUGGAGCCGCCGACGAAGGGGAAGGUGGUGGUGCAGACAACGGCCGGUCCAAUCGACAUUGAGCUGUGGGCGAAGGAGGCUCCCAAGGCCACGCGCAACUUCGUGCAGCUAUGCCUGGAGGGCUACUACGACGACACCCUCUUCCACCGCGUCAUCAAGUCCUUCCUCAUCCAGGGCGGUGACCCCACCGGCUCCGGCACAGGUGGUGAGAGCAUCUAUGGAGCCCCGUUUUCUGAUGAGUUCCACUCGCGCCUGAGGUUUAACCACAGGGGUUUAUUGGCGUGCGCAAAUGCUGGCACACCUCAUUCGAACGGAAGCCAGUUCUUCAUUACUCUCGACCGUUGCGAUUGGCUUGAUAAGAAGAAUACUAUUUUCGGGAAGGUCACUGGGGAUUCUGUCUUCAACCUUCUGGCCUUGGCUGAUAUCGAGACCGAUAAAGAUGAUCGGCCCGUGUACCCACAGAAAAUUCUCUCGGUGGAGGUACUCUGGAACCCAUUUGAUGAUAUAGUCCCAAGGCAAAUUAAGAAGAUUCAGCCUGCUGCCAAAGCUGAUGCUGACGGUAAACCAAAAAAGAAAGCUGUGAAGCAACUUAAUGUGCUUUCGUUUGGAGAUGAAGUAGAAGAGGAGGAGAAUGAGGCAGCUUCCUUUGUGAAGGACAAAAUAAAAAGUAUCCAUGACGUGUUGGACGAUCCCCGUUUUCUUAAAGUGGAACCACAGAUUGAACAACUAUCCAAGGAGGAGGAGGAGAAGAAAAAUGAAACUGUUCUAUCUAUCAGGGAGGCUUUGAUCUCGAAGAAAACUGACUUCAGAGAGCCAGAGCAUGAUUCAGAAAAUGAUGAUUCUCCAGAAGACGAGAACGAGGAGGAUUUUGACAACAGGAUGCGUUCACGAAUUCUAAAAAAACGUAGGGAGCUUGGGGAUACACGACCUAGUGAGAAUUCCAAGAAAGAUAAAUCUCAUCGGAAGGAUAAAGAAUUACCAGCUCGCAGGAGUGAUGAUGAAGAAGAAGAAGAAGAUGAUGAUGAUCACCAGUCAUCGAAAUCACGGAAACUAUCCUUGAAGAAAAAAGGUAUUGGCUCUGAAGCCAAUACUGAAAGGAUGUCCAGGGGAGAUGUUAAUUUGCAACUGCUAAAUCCUGCUGAACAAGAGAAACAUUUGAAGAAACAGAGAAAACGCAGUCUCCAGGGCCGUGAAGAGGAGACUUUAGCAAGGUUACAGAAGUUCAAGGCCUCCUUUCUUAGUAAUAAGCCUGCUAAUAUGGAAACAAAGGCAGAUGAUGGUGAGGACUACAAAGAGUGGCACGCCAAUCGUCUCACUUUUGAAACUUCAAAGGAUGGUAUGACUAGGAAGGAUGAUCCAAAUGACUAUGUUGUGGUCGAUCCUCUUCUGGAGAAAGGAAAGCAGAAGUUCAAUAAGAUGCAAGCGAAGCUAAAAAAGAGAGAUCGUGAAUGGGCUGGCAGAUCUCUCACCUAAUUCUUUCUGAGACGUGCAGUCUACAAAAAAUGUAAACCCGUCUACCACACAAUUCCGCUGCUGCAGUUUUGGUGUUGGGUUGCAGUUGGAAGCUGAGCAUAACAGAUGCAGGUUUGGGAUGUUAGUGAUCACUUGGUCAACGAAAGUGUAAAUAGCAUAGCACACAUUUGUUUACUCUCUGCGAAAGAAAGCUGGGUGCGUCAGUGCGUGCUGGUCGUUGCUGGAUGAAGAACGUGGACUUUUGGUGUUGUGUGACUAGAGGAAUCUCACUAUCAGAAACCCUAAUGGAUUGGAUUGGCUGCA